UACGUAGGGGGCUAGCGUUGUCCGGAAUCAUUGGGCGUAAAGAGCGUGUAGGCGGUCCGGUAAGUCCGCUGUGAAAGUCGGGGGCUCAACCCUCGAAUGCCGGUGGAUACUGUCGGGCUAGAGUGCGGAAGAGGAGAAUGGAAUUCCUGGUGUAGCGGUGGAAUGCGUAGAGAUCCGGAAGAACACCGGUGGCGAAGGCGGGUCUCUGGGCCGAUACUGACGCUGAGGAGCGAAAGCGUGGGGAGCGAACAGG
rnacentral:rRNA from 1 species